AAUGAACGCUGGCGGCAUGCCUAACACAUGCAAGUCGAACGAGAUACCGGCUUCGGUUGGUGUCUAGUGGCGCACGGGUGCGUAACGCGUGGGAAUCUACCCUUGGGUUCGGAAUAACAGUGAGAAAUUACUGCUAAUACCGGAUAAUGUCGCAAGACCAAAGAUUUAUUGCCCAGGGAUGAGCCCGCGUAAGAUUAGCUAGUUGGUGGGGUAAAGGCCUACCAAGGCGACGANCUUUAGCUGGUCUGAGAGGAUGAUCAGCCACACUGGGACUGAGACACGGCCCAGACUCCUACGGGAGGCGGCAGUGGGGAAUCUUGCGCAAUGCGCGAAAGCGUGACGCAGCAACGCCGCGUGAGGGAAGACGGCCUC
rnacentral:rRNA from 1 species